rnacentral:lncRNA from 1 species
GUCCGAUUGGAAAUAUACAACUCUACAACGUAUGCAUUCAUUAAGAUAUACAACUUUGUAUGUAUACAUAUACAAAUAUUUAUGAGAUGUUAUACAACUUAUUAGUUCUGUAAAAUAUACAACUCUAAAAUAUUUGCGGUGCCCCUAAAAAGAAUAUUCUUUAUAGUGUUGAACUUCAAUCCUUGUAUUGUAGUCUCGUG